CUCCUACCCCAACCCCCGCGCCUUGAACAUGCGUAGAAUCAUCGUUGUUCGCCGCUCUCCCUUCGCUUCCUCCGUCGCAGUCCUGUUUCUUUUCUUGCGCGUGCGUUCAGCUCCUUUGCUCAGCCGCGGAGGUGGAGGGACCACGAGGACUGCGGGCCCUAGGGUCCACAGAUGACAUAUCAGUCGAUAGGCAUGCAUUUACUGUUCGAGGGAAACAAAUAAGGGUGCAGCUUAGGCGAAAAGAAAAUCGUCUUAUUGCCAGUGUCUAAACUCCUAACGACGGAAUGUGUCUCUGAGACUAUGAGUGUGGAUACACGUGUACUUAAAACAGCCCCGCCUGUGUGCAGAGCUCUUGCUGUACGUCAACGCUUUACAGGAGCUAUCGCACUUAAGCCUCAGAACAACUUGAUGAGGCCUAUUUCUAACAGGCUUAUUUAUGUGCAUUCUUAUUCUAUCACGGAUUGGAAUCAGAAAAUUGGACAGUGUUGCAGGUACUCAUUGAUGCAGGCCUACCAGCAGCCACAAAAGUGAGAACUGAAUACACUACAAGAAAUGUUGAAGAAAGAGCUUCAGACAGAAGGGAAAUGAUACCAUUUGGAAAUACAGAUCUACACAAAGGAAUGAUGAGCCCUGGAAAAGGAUCAGCUGUCCCUGCUCUGAGCUAAGGCAAGCCCCUCUACUUGUGCCUCGGAUCCCAUCUUUUCUUGUAGAGUCAAGGAUUGCGUUCUUGAUUGGUUCCUGGAAGUGGAACUACUGUAUCAAAGAUUUGGAUGUUUUUAAGACCCCAGAAAGUGAUUCUCAUCCAAAACAUAGCAGCAUCGUGUCAUGGAAAAACACUGGACUGGGAGAAUCAGCUCUCGUCUCAACUCUUCCAUUAAAUGAAAGAUUUGAGCUUUUGGAAACCACUUUAACUCUUUGGACCUCAGUUUCGUCAGCUUCAUCGGUCUGCUAUGCCAAAAUGCCAGAAAAUGAACCUCAGUUUCUUGGUGAUAAUAAAGUGAACUGGCUUCCAGCAGAGAGAGAUCACGGCUUCUGUGACGGACUCCUGUACUUCUCCCUUCUCCAACCCCCUUCUCCACUGGCCAGUGCAGUCACCUUGCUCAGCCCUCUGGCCUCGCCUGGAAAACGUCCUCAUCAGGCCUGGAGUCCUUCCCUGUAAAAUGAUGAUGGAACUACCUAGCUCAUAGAGACACUGUGGUACCCACCACUGGCUGGAUCCCAGUGGAAGCCAGAGGGGAAGGGAGUUCUUUAUGCUGUCCAUACAGGUCAGCCCCCAGGGCAGAGAGCAGGUGGAGAAGAUUGGAAAGUGGAUCUGAGCAAGCAGAAGG
rnacentral:lncRNA from 1 species